UCUUGCAAUCCGUGCGGAAAUCGUGUAUAAUAAGCUCAGCGCCAUAAAAUAUCCUCCGCAGGCAUUCGCGUUGAGGUCCCGGUCUCGCGCAAUGGAAGCCUGUGAACCAUGUCAGGCGGGGAACCGAGCAGCAUUAAGCGGGACGAAAUGUGCCGCGAGGGCUCCGGUUCGGAGCGGAUGCUUGCGGAGGGGAUUUUAUGGCGCGAUUAUUUUAUUUUUCAGGA
rnacentral:SRP_RNA from 1 species